rnacentral:rRNA from 1 species
GGUCAUAAUCUUUUUCUUCUAUAAGAACUUUAAGAAAAAAUUGUGCUGUUAUCCCUACGGUAGCUUGGUUGAGUCUCAUUUUGAGGAUAAGAAGAAAGAGGGAAAGAAGAUUUGGUUUUUUACCGCCCCAGUUCAACAAAAGUAAAGUUCGAUAGGGUCUUGUCGUCCUUCUUUGCUAUACAAGUUUUUUUACUUGAAUAAAAAAUUAAAACAGUUUAAGUAAUAAAGAAAUUCAUAUGUCAGACCUUUCAUACUAGCCUAUAAUUAAUAGGCAAAUGAUUAUGCUACCUUAGCACAGAUUUAUUGCGGCUAUUUAAAGAAAUCAUUGAGCAGGUCCUACUGAAUAUAAUAUCAUUCAGAAAUGUUUUUGGUAAACAGACAAUAAAUUUAGAGGCCGAGUUCAUAAACUUAAAGUUAGGGGAAGAUUAGAGGGUGAUGUUUAAGGGUGGGGAUCAAGAAGAGUUUUACUAAUAAAAUCAUUACGCGGUUUGAGAGGUGGCCCUCCUUUAAUAGUAUUUUAAAUAACGGAUAGAAUUAGUUUGGAAACUUGGUGGACACUAUUAAUCCUUAUAUUUAGCUGGUGGGGAGGAGGAAAUAAAUAAAAAAGAUUGUCCCUUUUUAAAUCCUAGUAUUAUUACUUUUAAGGAGAACCAGAUAUCAGGGAAUGCGGAUGGAAUUUCACCUCUAUAUUCUCUUUGGAAAACUUUGUGACAUAAGCUUGACAAGAAAAAAUAGACCAUUUCAAUUUCGGGAAAACUUCUUAAGAAGGUUGGGUUGAUUUUCCCUGAUACUAAAGGUACAUUUUAUUUCUAUUCUGCAAUUUAGGGUGUUUCCCUCACGGUAAAAAAAUUAGAAAAGGUUUACAGAAAGAAAGUGAAUAUUUGGUUUAGAUAAAAUUUCUAAAAAGGGGUU